UACGAGGGGUCCUAGCGUUGUUCGGAAUCAUUGGGCGUAAAGGGUGCGUAGGUGGCCAUUCAAGUCAGUUGUGAAAUCCCCGGGCUCAACCCGGGAAGUGCUUCUGAUACUGUUUGGCUUGAGUACUGGAGAGGAUAGUAGAAUUCCAGGUGUAGUGGUGAAAUACGUAGAUAUCUGGAGGAAUACCGGUGGCGAAGGCGGCUAUCUGGCCAUGUACUGACACUGAAGCACGAAAGCGUGGGUAGCAAACAGG
rnacentral:rRNA from 1 species